UUUAUUUAUAUGUUUUCUCGGGUUUCCUUUUCUAUAUUUUAAAAAAAAAGUUUUCACCUUUACCCUUUCCGUAUUAAUUAUGAUUACUUUAAAUUUGCGAUUAAAUCACCGGUAGUAAAGCAAGCAGGACGCAGGUAGCUUUGGCCGUGGAUCAUUCUGGAAAAUAUCAAAUUCCGUCCCCGUAAGAAAUAGGUCCAACAGACCGUGUUUGAUUGGUGCGAAAGAUAUCAUUGGGAGAAGUGUGAUUUUUUUAUAAGAGUUCUAAGAGAAUUAACUGCUGUACAGAGGACAAUAACAGGUCUGCAAGUCGAACUCUAAGGCCGAAAGGAUGAUAAAGAUGUUGCGCAUUUGAAGCAUGUGAGUGAUAUGGAAAAGAAGAUUGAGACUUUAUCAAGGAUUACUACCAUAAUGAAAGAUGUUAUUCAGAAUAAGGAUCACAUUAUAGCUCAUCUUCAACAACCAUAUUCACUGGAUUGCAUUCUUGUGGAAGCAGAAUUUCAGGUUUGUUUACCUGGUUAAGUAUAGUUUGUUUUAAGCAGAGUGGUGUUUUUAUAUAUAAAUUUGCUUUGACCACGUUUAGUACCAAUUCACCUUGCAUGGACAAUUUAACUGAUGGUUACGCGGUUUAGAUAUUGGAGUGAAUAACUAAUUGGUGGGCUGUCUUUAAGGCAUGACUUAAGGUUUUGUUUUUAGGAUUAGAGACUUCAAUGUUGGUAAAAAGCAAAUGAGAGUUUUAGGUUUCAUAAAUUUAAGGUUUGUUUGUUCAUAGUACUUAUUGAUUUAGAUGCUCUUGUUCUUUUGUAAAGACAAAAUAUGAAAAUAUUAGGCCUACUUAUGCCUAGUUUAGAUACUUGUAUUGUUCUCAGCCCUUGGAUAGAUGAGCUGACAGCUGCUGAUCUCAGUCAUAUCUUGCACUGUAUUAUACCAUGUCAACUUGAAACAAGGAUUUGAACUUCAAAUAUUGGAGCUAAAGUAUAGUUUUUCUGUAUCUGAACAUGGAGAUUUCAGCAAUUAAUAGGAGAUUUUAACUCAUAGGAAUCUUCCCUUGUACAUAUUUGAUACUUUCUUGAUGAAACAUAGUGGACACUGGCUGUAAUUGCGUUAUGUAUUACUAAUGGCUUCUUUAGCUUAGAUAUGCACAGAAACAAUUUUCAGAGUUACUGAUGAAAGCUGCCAGUGACUAUGUAGCCUUGACAGCAUCUUUUUCAGAUUUCUAAUGGAGUCAUAAUUCUAAGGAACCUCCUUCAGUUUGGGGGGUAUGUUUAUGAAGCAUUGGAUUGGUUCCUGCAUUUUAAAUCCAGGCUGCUAUAUUUGUAACAACUAAAGAAAAUCUGAUUUGGAACACACCAUAUCAUGUGAAAGGAUUAUAUCCGAGGCAGGUUGUCGAAAUUUUGUAUGGAAAAUGAGAUGCCCCGCCCAAUUCCUGUUGUUUCAGCGUCAUGCACCCGAUUCUUUGAAGCCAUGUCUGCUAUGAGAGAAUCAGUUGCAGCACUUCAACAUCUAAGGGUUGGUCAUUUUCAACCGAGUUAAUUUUGGAAUAAGUAAUAAAGGCCAUUAAAAAAAAAGGGGAAGGUUCAGGGAGGAUGAAGGGUCGCAUCAUCUCUUACUGUAGUUGCGUACGUGGACGGUGGAUCACAAAUGAGGAAAGUGAAACAUUCCUGCAAAGUUGUUGCAAGAUGUCAUAAUUAUUUCCGCAGUCGGCAUGUUAUUAUCAAGAAGGAAGAUAAGCCUUAAAAGGAGGAGCAAUGCAUUAGCAUUUAAUAUUUUUUAUUACCUACAAAUUUAAUUAAUGUUCGAGAAGCUCUGAAAGUCUGAAUCUAUGAACUUUUUCUUAGUAAUUAAGUUUGUAUUCGGUUCA